GUGCCAGCCGCCGCGGUAAGACAGAGGUCCCAAGCGUUAGGCGGAAUCACUGGGCUUAAAGCGUGUGUAGGCGGGCCUGCAAGUACCUUGUGAAAUCCCACGGCUUAACCGUGGAACUGCUUGGUAUACUGCUGGUCUUGAGGCAUCUAGAGGCAACUGGAACAAACGGUGGAGCGGUGAAAUGCGUAGAUAUCGUUUGGAACGCCUAUGGUGAAAACAGGUUGCUGGGGAUGUACUGACGCUGAGACACGAAAGCCAGGGGAGCAAACGGGAUUAGAAACCCUGGUAGUCC
rnacentral:rRNA from 1 species